rnacentral:lncRNA from 1 species
AUGGGCGCCCGGGUGAAAGCUCUAGUAACACCACGUGGGGCGUCCACCCUGCAGAAAGACACGUUUACAGCGAACGGCUCCUACACACCAGCCGGGUUUAUUCAUUCCCUCCCGAGAGCGGGCUCCGGGCGCGCGGGAAACAAGGAAAACGCACGUACCUGGCGGUGCUCCGAGGGCGGCCUCGCGGGCCUUCCGCUGGCGAGGGGCCCCUCGAAGCCACUCCCCACCCGGCUAGUGGUCCCACGGCCCAUCCCUCCCUCCCCGGCGACGCACCCGCCAAGCCAACUCUCCAGGAAGCGCAAGAAGCCGGAGACCUGGCCUGCCUUCGUGGUCGCCGCACAUCCCGCCCGUGAUCCGCAGAGGGUCCCCGCGGGUCCGGGGGGGACUCCGGGCCCGGGAGCGGCGCAAGGGAUGCCGAUCGGCGGAUCCAGUUGCAGGCUCGGCCCAGCCUUCUGCGACCGGGCUCUGGCAUUCCCGGGUUGGCGGGCCCGCUGCAGAGACAGACACGGAGCUUUCGGGGAAGAAGGGGCGGCCGCGGUCCAGCAACCUGCCUGGCCUGCCACAGUCUUGAGGCUGCUGAACACUUGCUGAUGGACCAACAGAACCUCACAACCUGAGGUGACACAUCAGGCUCGAGGGCCUGGGUGCCCACAACCAAAGUAAACCAGCAGUGAACAACAGAACUACCAUCAAUCUGGGUGCCGAGUGGCUUGGGCAGUCAAGACCAAAGUGGAACCGUGGCCACGCUCUCAGAGAGGAAG